CAAACAUUCAAUCUAUAGUACCCUGUUCAAUGAGACUGAUCCUCUGGUGAUGCUGUGUAUGAUGUAACAAUGUCAAAUUGCUCUAAAAGUUUCUAAACCAUUGUCUAUGUCUACACUUAUCCUGCUGUGGCUGGGAACAAACCCACAGACCACACUUAGAGUAGCAGUGAUAAGGAACCCAGCUCUAGAAUGGUUUCUUCAUUGCCCAAGUCAACAUCGUGGAGUUUUCCUCCUAGUGGCACAGGAUGGAAGAGAGGGGAGAGGUGAUCUCAGAAACUAGACCCCAGCAGCUGUGACAGGCCUCUGCAGAAUAAUAAGCCACAUCAGGGAAGGUUCACGUGGCAUCAUGGAAGCCCAAGAAAACAGACACAAGAGGGCACGGGAGCCCGACGGGGACAGUGACAGCACCUCUGAGUCAGGCCUGGACUCAAGCAAGACAGCAGAACUGACAUCUACAGGAGAAGGUACCUGGUUAGAAGUAUGGUGCGUCCCAAAUUGGUGGCUCAGCCGGUAAAGCGUGAAAAACUAUCCUUUGGCCUUUACAUAUGGAAGCUAUCACCAGUCCAAUACAAAACUAGUAGAACUUUCAUAAAAAAUUUUUUUCUCUGCUUACAAAAUGGGUCUAAUAUCUACUCUCUAGACUUCCAUUGUCUUUCGAUUUAAUUUUUACCGUUCACAAGAUAUACACCAAUAUUGAGAUAGUACAACUUCUGCUAUUAGCUUUUUAUUCAAAGCAGAACAAUUUAGUUCUGUACGUCGUUCAAAUCCUAGUCAUUUACAGGGUACAGCUGGCUUUGCCGAAUAAGUGGCUAAAAGCAGCUAUCUGGAAAGGGCAACACAUAAAGUUCAAUUCAAGGUUCCUAUAACCUGAUAGUACCACUGUUCUCUCCUGCAAUUCUAAAUAGGUCCCCAAAAUCUUAGUAUUUCCUAGCCAGUCGAUGUGACAGGUUUUGUUUCUGG
ensembl:lncRNA